GCAUUGCUGAGGAGUCCCGUGCCAGGACGAAACGGCCGUCCAGUGC
rfam:Schistosoma mattheei strain Denwood, Zambia genome assembly, scaffold: SMTD_scaffold0001568